UACGUAGGGUCCGAGCGUUGUCCGGAAUUACUGGGCGUAAAGCGUGCGCAGGCGGUUCGUUGUGUCGGCGGUGAAAGCCCCGGGCUCAACCUGGGAAUGGCCGUUGAAACUGGCGAACUGGAGUGUGGCAGAGGGGGGUGGAAUUCCGCGUGUAGCAGUGAAAUGCGUAGAGAUGCGGAGGAACACCGAUGGCGAAGGCAGCCCCCUGGGCUGACACUGACGCUCAGGCACGAAAGCGUGGGGAGCAAACAGG
rnacentral:rRNA from 1 species